rnacentral:rRNA from 1 species
GACGAACGCUGGCGGCGUGCUUAACACAUGCAAGUCGAACGGAAAGGCCCUGCUUUUGUGGGGUGCUCGAGUGGCGAACGGGUGAGUAACACGUGAGUAACCUGCCCUUGACUUUGGGAUAACUUCAGGAAACUGGGGCUAAUACCGGAUAGGAGCUCCUGCUGCAUGGUGGGGGUUGGAAAGUUUCGGCGGUUGGGGAUGGACUCGCGGCUUAUCAGCUUGUUGGUGGGGUAGUGGCUUACCAAGGCUUUGACGGGUAGCCGGCCUGAGAGGGUGACCGGCCACAUUGGGACUGAGAUACGGCCCAGACUCCUACGGGAGGCAGCAGUGGGGAAUAUUGCACAAUGGGCGGAAGCCUGAUGCGGCAACGCCGCGUGCGGGAUGACGGCCUUCGGGUUGUAAACCGCUUUCGCCUGUGACGAAGCGUGAGUGACGGUAAUGGGUAAAGAAGCACCAGCUAACUACGUG